UAAGUCCCUGUCAGGUAAGGUCUAACCAACCACCUGUAUCGAGUGUUGCGCCGAUGCUGGCGACGGCAAAGGUGAAGCGUACACAUAAGUAGAGAACCAAAAUACCUAGUAUUUUGUGUGAAUCACUUAGUUGUUUUAUCUAGAGAAUCAUAUAGGCCAUAGGGGAGACCGUAAUCCCUGAAGCAUAUUCAGCCCCGUAAAAUGCAGUUCUAGAAAUAGACACAAAUGCAGAUGACGACGUGUUUAACGUCACGGAAGUCAAUACAAAAGAAUCGCUAAUGGUGAGAUUCUUGAGGGUCUGUCGGGGUCCUAGAACA
rfam:Alkaliphilus metalliredigens QYMF, complete genome.